rnacentral:rRNA from 1 species
GGGGAAUAUUGCACAAUGGGCGCAAGCCUGAUGCAGCGACGCCGCGUGAGGGAUGGAGGCCUUCGGGUUGUAAACCUCUUUUAUCGGGGAGCAAGCGAGAGUGAGUUUACCCGUUGAAUAAGCACCGGCUAACUACGUGCCAGCAGCCGCGGUAAUACGUAGGGUGCAAGCGUUAUCUGGAAUUAUUGGGCGUAAAGGGCUCGUAGGCGGUUCGUCGCGUCCGGUGUGAAAGUCCAUCGCUUAACGGUGGAUCCGCGCCGGGUACGGGCGGGCUUGAGUGCGGUAGGGGAGACUGGAAUUCCCGGUGUAACGGUGGAAUGUGUAGAUAUCGGGAAGAACACCAAUGGCGAAGGCAGGUCUCUGGGCCGUUACUGACGCUGAGGAGCGAAAGCGUGGGGAGCGAACAGGAUUAGAUACCCUGGUAGUCCACGCCGUAAACGGUGGAUGCUGGAUGUGGGGCCCGUUCCACGGGUUCCGUGUCGGAGCUAACGCGUUAAGCAUCCCGCCUGGGGAGUACGGCCGCAAGGCUAAAACUCAAAGAAAUUGACGGGGGCCCGCACAAGCGGCGGAGCAUGCGGAUUAAUUCGAUGCAACGCGAAGAACCUUACCUGGGCUUGACAUGUUCCCGACGGUCGUAGAGAUACGGCUUCCCUUCGGGGCGGGUUCACAGGUGGUGCAUGGUCGUCGUCAGCUCGUGUCGUGAGAUGUUGGGUUAAGUCCCGCAACGAGCGCAACCCUCGCCCCGUGUUGCCAGCGGAUUAUGCCGGGAACUCACGGGGGACCGCCGGGGUUAACUCGGAGGAAGGUGGGGAUGACGUCAGAUCAUCAUGCCCCUUACGUCCAGGGCUACACACGUACUACAAUGGAUGUAAACAGAGGGAAGCAAAAUAGCGAUAUGGAGCAAACCCCAAAAAGCAUUCUCAGUUCAGAUUGCAGGCUGCAACUCGCCUGUAUGAAGUUGGAAUUGCUAGUAAUCGCGGAUCAGCAUGCCGCGGUGAAUACGUUCCCG